rnacentral:rRNA from 1 species
CCUACGGGGUGCAGCAGUCGAGAAUCAUUCACAAUGGGGGAAACCCUGAUGGUGCGACGCCGCGUGGGGGAAUGAAGGUCUUCGGAUUGUAAACCCCUGUCAUGUGGGAGCAAAUUAAAAAGAUAGUACCACAAGAGGAAGAGACGGCUAACUCUGUGCCAGCAGCCGCGGUAAUACAGAGGUCUCAAGCGUUGUUCGGAAUCACUGGGCGUAAAGCGUGCGUAGGCUGUUUCGUAAGUCGUGUGUGAAAGGCGCGGGCUCAACCCGCGGACGGCACAUGAUACUGCGAGACUAGAGUAAUGGAGGGGGAACCGGAAUUCUCGGUGUAGCAGUGAAAUGCGUAGAUAUCGAGAGGAACACUCGUGGCGAAGGCGGGUUCCUGGACAUUAACUGACGCUGAGGCACGAAGGCCAGGGGAGCGAGAGGGAUUAGAUACCCCUGUAGUC